CCCCUCUCAGGAUUGCACCUGGAGAGUUUCCAGCACUCUGCCAGUCUCAGCUAUGGGAGAGAGAGUCAAGCAGAGGCCUACUUAUUCCAUUGCUGGCUUGGGCAGUGGCUAGCUAGUAGGAGAUAAUCUGCUACAAUU